AACGAACGCUGGCGGCAGGCCUAACACAUGCAAGUCGAACGCCCCGCAAGGGGAGUGGCAGACGGGUGAGUAACGCGUGGGAACCUACCUUGUGGUACGGAACAACCAAGGGAAACUUUGGCUAAUACCGUAUGAGCCCUUAGGGGGAAAGAUUUAUCGCCAUGAGAUGGGCCCGCGUAGGAUUAGCUAGUUGGUGAGGUAAUGGCUCACCAAGGCGACGAUCCUUAGCUGGUCUGAGAGGAUGACCAGCCACACUGGGACUGAGACACGGCCCAGACUCCUACGGGAGGCAGCAGUGGGGAAUAUUGGACAAUGGGCGCAAGCCUGAUCCAGCCAUGCCGCGUGUGUGAUGAAGGCCUUAGGGUUGUAAAGCACUUUCGCCGAUGAAGAUAAUGACGGUAGUCGGAGAAGAAGCCCCGGCUAACUUCGUGCCAGCAGCCGCAGUAAAAC
rnacentral:rRNA from 1 species